GCCUGCUUCUAGCCACCAUGCCCUCUGCUUCUGGAGAAGGCACGAACGCCUCGGCCAGGGCGGAGCUCCUGGCCCAGGAUGGGAAGAACACAC